rnacentral:misc_RNA from 1 species
GUAGGUGAACCUGCGGAAGGAUCAUUACUGAAUUGUCAAACGGGUUGUUGCUGGCCCUCAUAGGGGGCAUGUGCACGCUCUGUUUACACAUCCACUCACACCUGUGCACCCUCUGUAGUUCUAUGGUCUGGGGGACCCUGUCUUCCUUCUGUGGUUCUACGUCUUUACACACACACUGUAAUAAAGUUUUAUGGAAUGUACAUCGCGUCUAACGCAAUACAAUACAACUUUCAGCAACGGAUCUCUUGGCUCUC